GCAUUUUCUCCUCUUUCACCCUGGUGAGAACCAGCCUUCCUUCGGUUCUGCCUGAGGACCCUGUAGGUGCUGAAAAUGGAAUACAGCUGGCAGGUAGUGGGCGGACAGUGAAAACGUGCCCUGAUAUUAUUCUGAGAAAAAAAAAGAGCUUUAUUGCUUCUUGUCAGACUAUACUAUGUUUUAGGAAGAGUUGGGUUCCCCCAAAGAGAAGGUGCAGGGUGCUGGGAGCAGGAUCCUCAGUUUGUAAGAACGCACUCACUGCUCCAAGGCAGCCAACAAAAAAUUUUUAAAAAGGGUGAUUGAAGGUUCAACUUUUGACAUGUAAAAUCCAGUCAUAGCUUGGGUUUCCCGGAAGCAGUCCCUGAGACAGAGAUUUUAGUGCAACAGUUUAUUUGGGAGGCGAUCCUGGGAAACACCAGAAGGGAAGUGGAAAAUUGAAAUGUCGAAGGAAGCCAAUAAAAUAUGCGUUAUUGAGCAGAUGGCCCCUGUGACCAACUAGGCUCAGUAUCUCUGGGGAACCCCCAGAGACAGUGUAGAGUAAAUUCCAGAAUUAUGCCAUCCAAGGGAAAAGGGAGCUGAAUCAUUCAUCUCUCAGCUGUUGCAAGCUAUUGGUGGAGGGAUUUUCCCAAGAGGCAUUACCUCCCAGGCUUGUCCUCACUUUGCCUGUGUGGCCUCCAGUGGUCAGACAGAACCCAAAGGAAAAGAGCCAGGGUGCGGAUUGGCAGAAGCUAUUCUGGCCCAUGUGCAGAGCAUCAAGAAUGUGUGCUGCAAAAGAGUCUCUCUCUGUCACCCAGGCUGGAGUGCAGUGGCGCCAUCUCGGCUCACUGCAAGCUCCGCCUCCCGGGUUCAUGCCAUUCUCCUGCCUCAGCCUCCCGAGUAGCUGGGACUACAGGCGUCCGCCACCACGCCCAGGGAGAAGAGAAAAAAGUGCAUGAAGUAAAGAAAAAGCAGGGAAUGAGAGAAAAAAAUGGAGGAGUGAGUGCCACAGCCCAGUCAGUAAGUGCUACGUGGAGUCUCACUCUGUCGCCAGGCUGGAGUGCAGUCAGCUCACUGCAACCUCCACCUCCCGGGUUCAAGAGAUUCUCCUGCCUCAGACUCCUGAGUAGCUGGGACUACAGAUAUUUAGAAAUUAUUACAGGAACUUUUUCUGGACAGACAAGAACCUAAGUCUGAACAUCUAAAAGGCUCACAAAGAAUCAAGCAAAUUUAUUGAAAGAGACCAAUACUUAUUAGACCUAUCUUCGUGAACUGAAGAUCGAGAAAAAAAUUCCAAGAGGCAUUUGGACAGAAAAGCAUGUUGACUCCACAGGAACAAAAAUCAAACUGCAUUCAAAAUUCUCCUCUGCAAUGUCUAAUAGCAGGAGAAAUAAAAUAGUACCAACAGAGCUUCAAGGGAAAAAGACUGCAUUCUAAGAAUCCUAUAUUUAGGAAGUUGUUCAAGUGAAAGGGUAAUGGAAGAAAUGUUCUUAGAUGUGCAACUCACUGUUAUAACCUUUUAAACAAAGCCCUCGAAGACCUGAUUUAACUGACAGUGAAUGAAUCUAAAUACAGAGCUGUGGGAUGUGAGAGUCACAUCAGUGACCACUGAAACAAGUAUAAAGAAAAUUAAGUCUAGAUGAUUGUUUUACAUAUAAUUAUAAAACAGAAUAAAAGUGUAAAACG
rnacentral:lncRNA from 1 species